UGGUAAUCCAAUGUAUAAGCAAUGGACUGUUUUAUUCUUGGUGCUUUCAAGACCUGAUGCUUUGUUUUGAACAGGUUGAUACAUCUAGGAGUGAAAUACAUCACCGCUUUCCCUGCUCCCGCCGCCAUUAAAAUUGUGUUUGGCAUCUGACCACCAAGAUACAGAUAUUUCCUAGACUGUUUUGCAGCUAGGUACUUAGAAGUUUUUCUAAGUUAUUUAAACUUCUCACCACACAAAAUCUGGAUUUGUAUCUGUCACGUAGUAAUUGCUUGAUAAAUGACUGUGCCCUGCAUUCUCAGCUGCCUCAGCAUUCCCUAACUCCUCUAUUCAUUUGAGGGCUCCUACCUCCUGGACUGUUCAGGAAAAGGCCCUGCAGAAAAAAAAAAAAAACAUUUCUCUUUCCUCUGGAGAAAAAUAUCUGCUUUCUUUAAAAUAAAUGUUCCAUCCAUGCAGCUAAGCAGCUAAGGACACGAACAGCCACUGAUACAGGCCAACUCAUCAGUAGAUUAUUGAGAUUUCAUACUAGGACCUUUCAUUGGCUGAACAAAGACAAAGACAGAAAUCAAGGAAGGUCAAAGAAGCAGUCAGUUUUCUGGCACCCAAAGUUGUUGGAGAAGGGUACAGAGUCGGUAAAUAAGUCAUAUGACAGACAGGCAGUAUUUUCUUAUUUUAAUAACAAGUUUAAAAAUCCCACUUCUUGUACUUACCUUCUGUCUGACGUCAUCAGUAUUUUAAAAUGCCAACUGGGAUCAAGUUCAACACUGCAUUACUGAAGAAUCCAGAUUAUCUACAUUUCAAGUGCCAAAUGAAAGAAAGAACCCAGAAAAUAAAACAAUAUGAUGAUAACAGUAAAAUUUUUUAAAA
rnacentral:lncRNA from 1 species